UACAGAGGUCCCAAGCGUUGUUCGGAUUCACUGGGCGUAAAGGGUGCGUAGGCGGUUGGGUAAGUCUGACGUGAAACCUCCGGGCCUAACCCGGAAACUGCGUUGGAUACUAUCCGGCUAGAGGAAUGGAGGGGAGACUGGAAUACUUGGUGUAGCAGUGAAAUGCGUAGAUAUCAAGUGGAACACCAGUGGCGAAGGCGAGUCUCUGGACAUUUCCUGACGCUGAGGCACGAAAGCCAGGGGAGCAAACGGG
rnacentral:rRNA from 1 species